UCAGUACUAUCAACAAGAAUCAUCCAAACUGAGGGAUCUUGUAUUGUGAAGCAAGAAGGCAUGUUUGGUGGGUCAAGCACUUGAAAUCAACUAUUUCCGAGUGAGAAACUAUUUGGAGUGUUAAUUCUUCAACUUAUGGAUAAAACGUGGAUAAACCUUACAUCAAGAGCAAGUGAAGAGUAUAUAAAUGGGGUCACCAAUUUCUUAGAUUUUGCCUUUGCCAAAUUAUCCGAAGAUGGUAAAAUUUGGUGUCCUUGUGU